AUUGAACGCUGGCGGCAUGCCUUACACAUGCAAGUCGAACGGCAGCACGGGUGCUUGCACCUGGUGGCGAGUGGCGAACGGGUGAGUAAUACAUCGGAACGUACCUUAUCGUGGGGGAUAACGCAGCGAAAGCUGUGCUAAUACCGCAUACGCCCUGAGGGGGAAAGCGGGGGAUCGCAAGACCUCGCGCGAUUAGAGCGGCCGAUGCCUGAUUAGCUAGUUGGUGGGGUAAAAGCCCACCAAGGCGACGAUCAGUAGCUGGUAUGAGAGGAAGAUCAGCCACACGGGGACUGAGACACGGCCCAGACUCCUACGGGAGGCAGCAGUGGGGAAUUUUGGACUAUGGGGGCAACCCUGUUCCAGCAAUGCCGCGUUAGUGAAGAAGGCCUUCGGGUUGUAAAGCUCUUUUGUCAGGGAAGAAACACCGGCUCUAACACAGUCCGGGAAUGACGGUACCUGAAGAAUAAGCACCGGCUAACUACGUGCCAGCCGCCGCAGUAA
rnacentral:rRNA from 1 species